ACAAAAAAAUACAUCAUGAGUGUCACAACAUUCACCUUGGUUUUUUUUUUUUGUUUUUGUUGUUUUUUUUCCAAACCACGUAUAAUCUUUAAAAGUGGAACAAUGGAAUAGGAUAAUGGAGGAGGUAUGGCAGGAAGGCACAGGUGAGCAAUUAUAAAAGAGGUGUGGCCAAUCAAAUUGUUGAUUGGUCCACAGAGGUGGGUGUUCACACUGGAAUUAGGUCGUCGGAGCCGAAAAUGAGGGCGUUGAUGACACUGAGGAGCGUGACCAUUGGUCCAGAGCAUCCAGAGCAAGGUGAUGACCAUCUGUUGAGAACAUGCUGAGGGCUGCAAGUAGCUCAAACACCUGCUUCUUCACCAUCG